rnacentral:rRNA from 1 species
AACGAACGCUGGCGGCAGGCUUAACACAUGCAAGUCGAACGCCCCGCAAGGGGAGUGGCAGACGGGUGAGUAACGCGUGGGAACGUACCUUUCAGUUCGGAAUAACUCAGGGAAACUUGUGCUAAUACCGGAUACGCUCGCAAGAGGAAAGAUUUAUCGCUGAAAGAUCGGCCCGCGUUGGAUUAGCUAGUUGGUGGGGUAAUGGCCUACCAAGGCGACGAUCCAUAGCUGGUCUGAGAGGAUGAUCAGCCACACUGGGACUGAGACACGGCCCAGACUCCUACGGGAGGCAGCAGUGGGGAAUAUUGGACAAUGGGCGAAAGCCUGAUCCAGCCAUGCCGCGUGAGUGAUGAAGGCCCUAGGGUUGUAAAGCUCUUUCACCGAUGAAGAUAAUGACGGUAGUCGGAGAAGAAGCCCCGGCUGACUUCGUGCCAGCAGCCGCCGCCGUAA